UACGGAGGGGGCUAGCGUUGUUCGGAAUUACUGGGCGUAAAGCGCACGUAGGCGGCUUUGUAAGUUAGAGGUGAAAGCCCGGGGCUCAACUCCGGAAUUGCCUUUAAGACUGCAUCGCUAGAAUUGUGGAGAGGUAAGUGGAAUUCCGAGUGUAGAGGUGAAAUUCGUAGGUAUUCGGAAGAAACACCAGUGGCGAAGGCGACUUACUGGACACAUAUUGAC
rnacentral:rRNA from 1 species